GACGAACGCUGGCGGCGUGCUUAACACAUGCAAGUCGAACGGAAAGACCCUGCUUUUGUGGGGUGCUCGAGUGGCGAACGGGUGAGUAACACGUGAGUAACCUGCCCUUGACUUUGGGAUAACUUCAGGAAACUGGGGCUAAUACCGGAUAGGAGCUCCUGCUGCAUGGUGGGGGUUGGAAAGUUUCGGCGGUUGGGGAUGGACUCGCGGCUUAUCAGCUUGUUGGUGGGGUAGUGGCUUACCAAGGCUUUGACGGGUAGCCGGCCUGAGAGGGUGACCGGCCACAUUGGGACUGAGAUACGGCCCAGACUCCUACGGGAGGCAGCAGUGGGGAAUAUUGCACAAUGGGCGGAAGCCUGAUGCAGCAACGCCGCGUGCGGGAUGACGGCCUUCGGGUUGUAUACCGCUUUCGCCUGUGACGAAGCGUGAGUGACGGUAAUGGGUAAAGAAGCACCGGCUAACUACGUG
rnacentral:rRNA from 1 species